CCUACGGGAGGCAGCAGUGGGGAAUCUUGCGCAAUGGCCGAGAGGCUGACGCAGCGACGCCGCGUGGGGGAUGAAGCAUUUCGGUGUGUAAACCCCUGUUGCUCGGGACGAACGACCCUUUUCGAGGGGUGUGACGGUACCGAGUGAGGAAGCACCGGCUAACUCCGUGCCAGCAGCCGCGGUAAUACGGAGGGUGCAAGCGUUGUCCGGAAUCACUGGGCGUAAAGGGCGCGUAGGUGGUUAGAUGCGCCGGUGGUGAAAGCGCAGGGCUCAACCCUGCGUCGGCCAUCGGGACGGUCUGACUGGAGCACUGUAGAGGCAGGUGGAAUUCCGGGUGUAGCGGUGGAAUGCGUAGAGAUCCGGAAGAACACCGGUGGCGAAGGCGGCCUGCUGGGCAGUUGCUGACACUGAGGCGCGACAGCGUGGGGAGCAAACAGGAUUAGAUACCCCUGGUAGUCCCACGCCGUAACGAUGGCGACUAGGUGCGUUGGGGUAGGCGACCCCGUCGNGUGCCGCGCACGCAUAGUGCCCGCCGUGGGAGGACGACCGCGAAGGUUAGUAAACGUUAAAGGUUAAGUUAGUUACGGCGUGNGACGUUGCCGACGGCGACGACGAGGGAGGAGG
rnacentral:rRNA from 1 species